UGCCAGACUCCUACGGGAGGCAGCAGUGGGGAAUAUUGGGCAAUGGGCGCAAGCCUGACCCGGCAACGCCGCGUGAAGGAAGAAGGCUUUCGGGUUGUAAACUUCUUUUAAGAGGGAAGAGCAGAAGACGGUACCUCUUGAAUAAGCCACGGCUAACUACGUGCCAGCAGCCGCGGUAAUACGUAGGUGGCAAGCGUUGUCCGGAUUUACUGGGUGUAAAGGGGGCGCAGACGGCGAUGCAAGCCAGGAGUGAAAGCCCGGGGCCCAACCCCGGGACUGCUCUUGGAACUGCGUGGCUGGAGUGCAGGAGGGGCAGGCGGAAUUCCUGGUGUAGCGGUGAAAUGCGUAGAUAUCAGGAGGAACACCGGUGGCGAAGGCGGCCUGCUGGACUGCAACUGACGUUGAGGCCCGAAAGCGUGGGGAGCAAACAGGAUUAGAUACCCUUGUAU
rnacentral:rRNA from 1 species